CAGUCGACGAUGAUGCCCAGCUUGCUGGGCGGAUUAGUGGCGAACGGGUGAGUAAUACGUGAGUAACCUGCCCUUGACUCUGGGAUAAGCCUGGGAAACUGGGUCUAAUACUGGAUACUACCUCUUACCGCAUGGUGGGUGGUGGAAAGGGUUUUACUGGUUUUGGAUGGGCUCACGGCCUAUCAGCUUGUUGGUGGGGUAAUGGCUCACCAAGGCGACGACGGGUAGCCGGCCUGAGAGGGUGACCGGCCACACUGGGACUGAGACACGGCCCAGACUCCUACGGGAGGCAGCAGUGGGGAAUAUUGCACAAUGGGCGGAAGCCUGAUGCAGCGACGCCGCGUGAGGGAUGACGGCCUUCGGGUUGUAAACCUCUUUCAGUAGGGAAGAAGCGAGAGUGACGGUACCUGCAGAAGAAGCGCCGGCUAACUACGUGCCAGCAGCCGCGGUAAUACGUAGGGCGCAAGCGUUGUCCGGAAUUAUUGGGCGUAAAGAGCUCGUAGGCGGUUUGUCGCGUCUGCUGUGAAAGCCCGGGGCUCAACCCCGGGUCUGCAGUGGGUACGGGCAGACUAGAGUGCAGUAGGGGAGACUGGAAUUCCUGGUGUAGCGGUGAAAUGCGCAGAUAUCAGGAGGAACACCGAUGGCGAAGGCAGGUCUCUGGGCUGUUACUGACGCUGAGGAGCGAAAGCAUGGGGAGCGAACAGGAUUAGAUACCCUGGUAGUCCAUGCCGUAAACGUUGGGCACUAGGUGUGGGGGACAUUCCACGUUUUCCGCG
rnacentral:rRNA from 1 species